GAUGAACGCUGGCGGCGUGCCUAAUACAUGCAAGUCGAGCGAACAGACGAGGAUCUUUCUCCUCUUACGUUAGCGGCGGACGGGUGAGUAACACGUGGAUAACCUACCUAUAAGACUGGGAUAACUUCGGGAAACCGGAGCUAAUACCGGAUAAUAUAUUGAACCGCAUGGUUCAAUAGUGAACGCGGUUUUUGCUGUCACUUAUACAUGGAUCCGCGCCGCAUUAGCUAGUUGGUAAGGUAACGGCUUACCAAGGCAACGAUGCGUAGCCGACCUGAGAGGUUGAUCGGCCACACUGGAACUGAGACACGGUCCAGACUCCUACGGGAGGCAGCAGUAGGGAAUCUUCCGCAAUGGGCGAAAGCCUGACGGAGCAACGCCGCGUGAGUGAUGAAGGUCUUCGGAUCGUAAAACUCUGUUAUUAGGGAAGAACAAAUGUGUAAGUAACUCUGCACGUCUUGACGGUACCUAAUCAGAAAGCCACGGCUAACUACGUG
rnacentral:rRNA from 1 species